CAUAAGAAUGUGUGUAUUUUAAUAUUUGACAUAUGUAUGUCGCUUGAAGUCUGUGUUCAGCACAUGAAUAAGUUUAGCGAGCAAUUUCAAUUUUCGAUAUAGAAUGUGUGAUAAAAUAUAUAUACAUAAAUGUAUAAAUAAAAAAUUUAAGUAAUCGCUUUCAGUCUAAAAACUGUUAAUAUGGUUGUGCUAGCUUUAAACUUCAUUCACAUAACCGCCAUUUAUUUCUGAUGUGCAUUCGCUUCGCGGAAAUUGCUAGAAUAAGCGAAAAGAAACGGAAAGGAGUAUUAAGCAAGACCAGUGUUGCCAACUGCGCAGUAUUUAUUUUUUACAUUUUACAUACCAAUCUUUUCUAAUACGAAGUUUUAGAAGUUGUCAGUAAUAAACAAUAUGUGUUUGUUUUUGUAUUUUUGUGUUGUUUUGUACGUAUUAAUAAAAGUCUAAUAUUAAUAAAACUGAUUUAAAAUCAAAUUAUAAAAAUGGUAUUUAUAUGGCAGUCCGGCAACAAUUUGACUGCUUUUCCAUCGUACGGUUUCCUCCGUUUCAUUCGGUAAACCGCCAUUUUCAAUUUCAAUAAGCGCAGUUAUGUUUAGUGAGUGCGGGUUUUAAUAAAUUUCGGAAAGUGAUUAGUGUGUUUUUAUUAUAUAAAUUAAGUGUUAUAAUAGAGUAUAUGUGAUAGUGAAUCCAUAAAAUAUAGUGAAAGUUAGUGAAGUGUUUAAUUUGAAGAAAUUCCUUUAACGUUGGAAGUGCAAUCGAGCUUGGGAGCUAAUUUACAAAAUUGCUUCCGUUUGAGAAAAGUUGGUGGCAGCUUAAAAAUAAAAACGAACAUAAUUUGAACCACUUUUGUAAUCGUAUGAUUAUAUUUAAUCAUUAUAAUCACUGCAACAACACAUAUCAAUUUACGGCGAUUAUAUCAAAUCCGCUUUUAUUACACGGUUCCUCAAUUAUCGAGCAUUUAGCUUAUUAAUAUUUAGCCGACGGUGCGUAUGAGUUUAUGCGAGACAGACAGGCAGCUGCCACGGCGGAAAGUGGUGCCUG